rnacentral:rRNA from 1 species
UACGUAGGCAGCGAGCGUUGUUCGGAAUUACUGGGCGUAAAGGGCGCGUAGGCGGCUUGGCAAGUGGAAGGUGAAAUCCCGGAGCUCAACUCCAGAACUGCCUUUGAUACUGAGAAGCUUGAGUCCGGGAGAGGUGAGUGGAACUGCGAGUGUAGAGGUGAAAUUCGUAGAUAUUCGCAAGAACACCAGUGGCGAAGGCGGCUCACUGGCCCGGUACUGACGCUGAGGUGCGAAAGCGUGGGGAGCAAACAGG